AAAUCUUGAAAAAAUUAACCGAAACUUGGUCUGCGUCCGGCUGAAGCAACGACACCUGAGCAGCGAUGACACUUAACUGACUCGUUUCUCGACAAUGCAAGUGACCGUUGUGACAAUCCAGUCAUUAUUAUAAAUCCAUCCACCGCAUGUUCAUUCACCACUAUCGAAACCAAAAAAGUAAUUACCUGAUGUAAGGGCGACGAAGGCGAGAGCAGUUAUUAGAGCUGUGAGCUUCAUUGCGAUACUUUUGCUUCUUUUUGACUGUCCAACAAUUGCUGACGAGUUUUUGUUGGCUUCCUGACAUACCACAGAGAUUUGUCUUAGACCCGUUAGGAUGUGAAAUUCAAGAACCCGAUGGGCGAUAGCGUUGCUAUACGAAAGCUGUUCUCCGGCAAGCUUAUUGAACCAAGGAUAAUAAGGAGACAUUCUGGUGUAAAUGGUUGGUUGGAAAUUGUUUCCACAACUGGCAUUCUUGGACAUGAUUCCAACCACUCCCACUGUUCCACUGAUGUUUUUGUUUUGCACCAAAGGCGAACCUUCGUCGCAAUGGCAGGGGCUUCCAGUAUCUAGUGACUCCUCCAGCGCAGAUCAUGUAAGCUGAGUAAAACUGAUCCGCGCCGUAAUCUCUGCAGUCUGUUCCGAAUGAAACUUGAAUGGAACGCAGCCCGGCAAUCACUAAACCACCUUCCUUUAUAAAAGUGACUCCCCGUCCAAUGAAGGUGCCAUUGUCGGAAAGAGCUUCUUUCGCCUCACUGUGCGGGAUAAAGUUGACGUUGGUGCUAAAUUCGAUAGGUGGAGACGUCUAAGGAAAGCGCCAAUCAAUUGAACUUUUAGAUUAUGCCACAAGCAAUUUGAUGUCAGCCUUUACGUAUGUUUCGCGAGAUAGUAGCGAUGAUAACGAUGAUAACGAUCAGGCUGACUGCAUCUAGCGGGGAACUCGUGCGUCACGACUCACGCGAGAUCACUUUUUUACAAGGAUAGAUUGGAUAAAACUGGUUGCAAUCCAGCCGUAGUGGAUAUCCAAUUGUAGUAAGGUGACAGCCGUGUGAAAAUGGUCGGUUCAAUCGUUCCAGCUGCGUCGCAGCCCUUAUUCCUCGACAUGACUCCAACAACAAAUCCAUUCUGCAUCAAAGGUGAUCCUUCGUCAUAGUAACAUGGACUUGCAUGGUCUAGUUCAUCUAUGGUGCAGUCUUUAUCCUUGACCAGGCAAUAUCAUGGCUGUGACGCUGAGUAGGAACUGAUAGCGCUUAUCAAGCAACACAACAAAUCAAAUUGAAGAUGCUCG